GAUGAACGCUGGCGGCGUGCUUAACACAUGCAAGUCGAACGGAAAGGCUCCUGCUUGCAGGGGUACUCGAGUGGCGAACGGGUGAGUAACACGUGGGUGAUCUGCCCUGCACUUCGGGAUAAGCCUGGGAAACUGGGUCUAAUACCGGAUAGGACCACAUUUUGGAUGGUGUGGUGGAAAGUUUUUCGGUGUGGGAUGAGCUCGCGGCCUAUCAGCUUGUUGGUGGGGUAAUGGCCUACCAAGGCGUCGACGGGUAGCCGGCCUGAGAGGGUGUACGGCCACAUUGGGACUGGGAGACGGCCCAGACUACUACGGGAGGCAGCAGUGGGGAAUAUUGCACAAUGGGCGCAAGCCUGAUGCAGCGACGCCGCGUGGGGGAUGACGGCCUUCGGGUUGUAAACUCCUUUCGCUAGGGACGAAGCGCAAGUGACGGUACCUGGAGAAGAAGCACCGGCUAACUACGU
rnacentral:rRNA from 1 species